UGUUGCCGCUUGGCCCAUAUUAAAACCUCCUCCAAUAUCCAGGAAACAGUUUUUUUAAUCUCUGCACAGCCUAAGAUUGAGCCAAGAACGGCAUUGAGCCACUCUAAGGUCAGCAUUCUGUUUCAAGAGGAGCUGCCAACCCCCUUUAUCCAUCCUUUAGGGACUCCUUUCUCAGAAUAUAUGUGGACAUGGACCAUUCCAGCAGGGAAGAAAAAAUUGUUAUGAGAAGAUGAAGUCCCAGUUUAGACCAUAUUGCUUGAGACCAUGCUUUUGGAUAUCUUCCUAUCAAGAUGUACUUCAGACCUAGCAUAUCAAGUACUGAGGAUACCCUGAGCCUCAGCUGUGCCAGGGCU